rnacentral:rRNA from 1 species
CGGUAAUUCCAGCUCCAAUAGCGUAUACUAAAGUUGUUGCAGUUAAAAAGCUCGUAGUUGGAUUUCUGCGGGGACGGAGCGGCCGGACGCAACUUGCGUCUCGAGCUAGCGCUUUCCCCGCAUCCUGCCGCGAACCGUGCUACCAUUAGUUUGGUGGCGCUGGGGAUCGGCUCGAUUACUUUGAGAAAAAUAGAGUGUUCAAAGCAGGCCACACGCCUUGAAUAAGUUAGCAUGGAAUAAUGACUAAGGACUUCGGUUCUAUUUUGUUGGUGUUCGGGACUGAAGUAAUGAUUGAUAGGGACAGUUGGGGCGGUCUGUAUUCCAAAGCGAGAGGUGAAAUUCUUAGACCUUCGGAAGACAAACGGCUGCGAAAGCGUUCCGCAAGGAUGUUCCCUUUGAUCAAGAACGAAAGUUGGGGGAUCGAAGACGAUCAGAUACCGUCGUAGUCUCAACUAUAAACUAUACCAGCUAGGGAUCGGUCAACGUUUAAUUAUUCGACUUGAUCGGCACCUUAUGAGAAAUCAAAGCAUCUGGGUUCCGGGGGGAGUAUGGUCGCAAGGCUGAAACUUAAAGGAAUUGACGGAAGGGCACCACCAGCCGUGGAGCCUGUGGCUUAAUUUGACUCAACACGGGAAAACUUACCAGGUCCAGACAUAGUAAGGAUUGACAGAUUGAUAGCUCUUUCUUGAUUCUGUGGGUGGUGGUGCAUGGCCGUUCUUAGUUGGUGGAGUGAUUUGUCUGGUUAAUUCCGUUAACGAACGAGACCCCAGCCUGCUAAAUAGCGCGGCUGAGCUUUGCUCGGUGCGAGCUUCUUAGAGGGACUAUGAUGCGCGAUAGCACAUGGAAGUUUGGGGCAAUAACAGGUCUGUGAUGCCCUUAGAUGUUCUGGGCCGCACACGGGCUACACUGGCGCCUGCAACGAGCAUAUCAGCUGGCCCGAGAGGGUCUUGGCUAAUCUUUUGAACCGGCGCCGUGCUUGGGAUUGACCUUUGCAAUUGUUGGUCAUGCAACGAGGAAUGCCUUGUAAACGCGAGUCAUCAGCUCGCAUUGAAUACGUCCCUGCCCUUUGUACACACCGCCCGUCGCUCCUACCGAUGAAUGUUCCGAUGAAAUUUUCGGAGAGCGCCAGAGAACGGGGCUCUGCCUUGCAGAUCUGGAGGCUCAAAGUCACUUAAAUCUGAACAUUUCGAGGAAGGAGAAGUCGUAACAAGGUAGCCG